rnacentral:rRNA from 1 species
UAGGGAAUCUUCGGCAAUGGACGAAAGUCUGACCGAGCAACGCCGCGUGAGUGAAGAAGGCUUUCGGAUCGUAAAACUCUGUUGUUAGAGAAGAACAAGGACGUUAGUAACUGAACGUCCCCUGACGGUAUCUAACCAGAAAGCCACGGCUAACUACGUGCCAGCAGCCGCGGUAAUACGUAGGUGGCAAGCGUUGUCCGGAUUUAUUGGGCGUAAAGCGAGCGCAGGCGGUUUCUUAAGUCUGAUGUGAAAGCCCCCGGCUCAACCGGGGAGGGUCAUUGGAAACUGGGAGACUUGAGUGCAGGAGAGGAGAGUGGAAUUCCAUGUGUAGCGGUGAAAUGCGUAGAUAUAUGGAGGAACACCAGUGGCGAAGGCGGCUCUCUGGUCUGUAACUGACGCUGAGGCGCGAAAGCGUGGGGAGCAAACAGG